rnacentral:lncRNA from 1 species
ACUUACAGUCAGACGUUUUGUAAAUGUCGGAGCUGGACCACGAGAGAGUCCUGGACUGAUGGCUCCAGCACACGAUCACUUAGCCACAGGCUGGAGUUGUUAUGCGCAGCACCUUGGCUUGCUUUCCCUAAGCACACCUCAAAUUGAAAGGGAGGUAAAGCCUCAUCAGUGAAACAGGCAAAUGCUGGGGUAGUGAGUCAUCUCCAGCUCUGAGAAGGGGAAAUGCCUAGAGCAAGGGCUACAGCCUUAACAGCCCCACCAGUUCCCAGUUCCAAUAUUGUUUCCUGGAAUGAACUUUUACAACCAGGAAGAAGCUAUUUAAAACCUUCAUUACGAUACUUUAGCAUCUCACCAUGAAGGAUAUUUAAAAGCAAAAUGACCUGAAGCAGGUGUGAGUAAUCUGUGGAUAGAACAGAGCUCUGCUCCAGGCGCAAGCACUGCUGUAGGUAAAGUGCUGAAGAAGAGGAAGACUACAGGCUAUUUAUCCAUGGCGGCAGCACAGCUUGGGGCAAGGCAGAGCUAAGACGACCCCUCUGUCUUUGUGAAGAUGCCAGAGGAAACCACCAAAGAGUUUCAAGCAAAAACCAAGCUGUUCAUCUUAUCAGGAGAAUCUGGGGAAGAAUCUGAUUCCAAAUUCAUUCAGGGUUUUGCCGAUUUGGAUCCUGGGCGUGGACCUAGCACCACUCAUCAAGCCAUGCUGAGGCAUCAUCCCACGUAGCAGAAACAGAAGGACCUACAACUAGAAAUAUUUCUUCUUCACAGAGAGAUUAUUUCUUGAUCUUCAUGGUGGAUGUUUCUGGAUUUCAGGCCAUUCCUCUCCCCACCAAUG